UACGUAGGGGGCUAGCGUUGUCCGGAAUCAUUGGGCGUAAAGAGCGUGUAGGCGGUCCGGUAAGUCCGCUGUGAAAGCCCGGGGCUCAACCCCGGCGGGUCGGUGGAGACUGGUCUUCUUGAAGAUGCUAGGGGGAGGUGGAAUUAUCGGUGUAGCGGUGAAAUGCGUAGAGAUCGAUAGGAACACCAGUGGCGAAGGCGGCCUCCUGGGGCACUCUUGACGCUGAGGCGCGAAAGCUGGGGGAGCAAACGGG
rnacentral:rRNA from 1 species